rnacentral:rRNA from 1 species
UACGUAGGGUGCAAGCGUUAAUCGGAAUUACUGGGCGUAAAGCGUGCGCAGGCGGUGAUGUAAGACAGGUGUGAAAUCCCCGGGCUUAACCUGGGAACUGCAUUUGUGACUGCAUCGCUGGAGUGCGGCAGAGGGGGGAUGGAAUUCCGCGUGUAGCAGUGAAAUGCGUAGAUAUGCGGAGGAACACCGAUGGCGAAGGCAGCCCCCUGGGCUAGCACUGACGCUCAGGCACGAAAGCGUGGGAGCAAACA